AGUGAACGCUGGCGGUAGGCCUAACACAUGCAAGUCGAACGGCAGCACAGUAAGAGCUUGCUCUUACGGGUGGCGAGUGGCGGACGGGUGAGGAAUACAUCGGAAUCUACUUUUUCGUGGGGGAUAACGUAGGGAAACCUACGCUAAUACCGCAUACGACCUACGGGUGAAAGCAGGGGAUCUUCGGACCUUGCGCGAUUGAAUGAGCCGAUGUCGGAUUAGCUAGUUGGCGGGGUAAAGGCCCACCAAGGCGACGAUCCGUAGCUGGUCUGAGAGGAUGAUCAGGCACAAUGGAACUGAGAAACGGUCCAGACUCCUACGGGAGGCAGCCGUGGGGAAUAUUGGACAAUGGGCGGAAGCCUGAUCCAGCCAUACCGCGUGGGUGAAGAAGGCCUUCGGGUUGUAAAGCCCUUUUGUUGGGAAAGAAAAGCAGCAGGUUAAUACCCCGCUGUUCUGACGGUACCCAAAGAAUAAGCACCGGCUAACUUCGUG
rnacentral:rRNA from 1 species